GACAGAGGGUGCAAACGUUGUUCGGAAUUACUGGGCGUAAAGCGAGUGUAGGCGGUUUGGUAAGUCGGAUGUGAAAGCCCCGGGCUCAACCCGGGAAGUGCACUCGAUACUACCAGGCUAGAGUAUCGGAGAGGUUGGUGGAAUUCUCGGUGUAGAGGUGAAAUUCGUAGAUAUCGAGAGGAACACCGGUGGCGAAGGCGGCCAACUGGACGAAUACUGACGCUGAGACUCGAAAGCGUGGGGAGCAAACAGG
rnacentral:rRNA from 1 species